GGGUUUCGAGUAAACCCUAGUGCACCGCCCCACCCUCGCUCCUCUCUCAUGCGUCACUUUGCCGAUAAUGGCAAAAAUACAGGCGUACGUCGCCUUUUCCAGCUUUGUCAUAGUCAAUUGGGGUAAGCAUUUAAUGCUAACCCCCUCUCUCCACUGAGUUUUCAACCAAACGAGGAGGUCUAGAGUCUUCCAAGUCCAAUCUCGAUUCAAGGCUUCACACAAGAAAGGUAAUCUUCUUUCCCUUUUAUUUUUGUAGCAUUUAUUUGUUUUAAAUUACUUUGUUGUUGAUUAUGUGCUUGGCCUGAUGUUAAUUAUGUGAUUAGUAUGCGUUUGUUAGUUCAUUUUCUAUUUUAGUUUAAGUAUAUAAUGUAGUUGUUUGAUUCAUCUGUUAAGUAGUUUAUUGUUCAUAUAGGUUAAGUAGUAUGUGAAUGGGGCUGAUGGUAUUAAAGUAUUUGGUUUUGUUUAGGUAUUAUGUGUUCAUUUGGGUAAACUUGGUCAUGUUUAAAGAGUAUUUUAGUUUAGUUCUUGUAUAGUACCCGCUUUUAAAACUAAUUUAGGCAGAUUCAGUAUAUAAAUGGACAGAUUAUUUGAUAUCAUGCCUGUUUUAGUUCUUUUUUUUUUUUGGCCAAAUACAUAGACAGCCCCCUAAACUUGUCGUUAUUUUCCAUUUAGACACCUAAACUAAGGUUGUUUCCUAUCAAACACUCAAACUAGCAUCAAAGUGUGUCUAUUAGACACUAAGAACUCAGUUCCAAGAAAAAAAAAUCACAGCGUGAAGCUCAAAUACUGCUUACGUGGCAGAGUAACCAAUUAAAAAAAUCCACAUCAAUUAAAAUAAAUCCACCUUAAAUUUAAUAAUCCCCACAACUAGACCCACUAACUCCCCUUUCCUCGACUUUUCUUUUCCCCUCAUAUUGUACUUUCCAUUUCCUCUUCUCUAGAUACCAGUUCUUUGAGGAAGGAGAAUAGGGUGGCUUUACUCCUUUUUUUUUUUUGUGCUCCGUAAGUCAAGGAUUUCAGAUACAUAAUGGAUUUGACAUCUACUCGUAACAUAAUAUAUACUCAGAUUAAUUCGAUUUGAAAAGUUUAUACUAAUUUAUAUCAUUAACUAAUGGCUUCUUUUCUUUCGAAACCUUAUUUUUUGUAUAAUCAUGUCCAUGUUGUUUGACAAGGGUAGCAGAAUGGAAAAUCAAAAUUUGUUUAUUUAGUUCUUUCAAAAGAGUAGAAAAAUUUCAGUCCUUGUUGUCUAGUGAGCGUAUUGAAAGAAUGAAAAAGUCCAUUGAUUUUAUUUUUAAGAGAAAUUUUCAAAUUCAUGGAUUUGGGUCUAUCAAGUUAGGAACAGACAAAAGUAAAUACCAAAUAAGAUAAGACAAACAGGGAAAAAAAUUCGCUCCGUAUUCUUUGGAUAAAACAAAUUGGCUUGAUGGAAAGGUAGUAACUUGCUGGAGAAAAAAAAAAAAAAAAAGGGCACAAAAUGGAGAGGAAUGAAUUUGGCAAAAGUAAUUUUUUUGUUUAAAAAGAUGAAGUUAGGGACGACAUAAACAAUAAAAGAAAAGUUAGGUCCACAGAUCCAUAUAGCUUACGUGCUCAAAUGGUGGGUGAGUAACACAACACAUGCCAUGUCAGCAUUUUGUGUCCAAUAGACACACUUUGAUGGUAGUUUGAGUGUUUAUUAGGAAACCACUUCAGUUUAGGUGUCUAAAUGGAAAAUUAUGACAAGUUUAGGGGGCUGUCUAUGUAUUUGGCCUUCUUUUUUUAUGUUGAAGUUGUGUCCUGCUGUCAUUUGCUUGAAUCUGUCUUUGUUGUCUUAAGAACCUAAUGUCAGCUACUUUAAGCUAUGUUUAUCUGAGUAUUGUACCUAUUAAGAUCUACUUGUGUUAUUAAAGGACUUUGUGAACUAUGUUGUAUGCCUGAUAACCAUGUUUAUACAUGUGAACCUUCUGUGAUAACCUGCCUAUAUUCAAUAUCACUCAGAUCCUGUCACUAAUGUGUUGCAUAAAGCUCUAGAGGUCUAAAUAUGUUGCCCUAAUGCAGUCAAUUAAAAAUGCUUCUAUGGAUUAGUUUGUUUGAGUCCUUGUUUGUUGCUUUCCUGUGAGUAAGAGGGUCUAAAAGCAUGUUAUUACUCUGUAUUGUUUGGCUUUGGUCUUAGUUGGUUGAACCUGUGAUCUCCUUAAGUUCAAAAACUCUGGCUUGAACCCCUAUAUUAUCCUCUGCUUGCUAUGGACAUGUAGUAUGUUAAACAUAAUUUUAAAAGGUCUAUCUAUACUUGUCUUGCCUUGUUUUGACCAUGAAGUAUGUUAGUUGGGACAUGAGUAGCUAAAUGAUCCUAUUUGAUUAAAUGUAUGUCUGUCAUUUAAACUAUUUUCCUGAGUUAAAUGUUGCAUGAAAGUUGUUUGUGAAUCUGAAAAUAUGCCAAUGCCCCUUUAGCUCUGAUUAGCACUGUGUUGUGAUACAUGUCUACUUAUCGCUUAAAACACUUAUGAAAAGCAUACCUGCCCUAGUUAUCUGUGAUCAUAUAAGAUUAUCCCAAAAAAUGAACUACUUGAUGUUGCUUGUUUAUCCUGUUUGCACCUCUGCCCUUUUCAUGACUGAUCCAGUUAUGUCUAAAGACCCUUAUUGCAAUUAGAUUCCUGAGAUCUUGCAUCUGUACUUCUGUUUAUUGUCUGUCUGAGCCUUCCUACUUGAUGUGAGCUAAAUUAAGGAUUUGCAUCUUGCAUAGUUGAACUAUAAGAGGCUGUCACUUGAGGUUGAGUGACUCUGGGUGUGACUUACCUAGGGUCAAGAGGAGGGGUGAGGAAGCUUUGAGUUUCUAGUCAAACUCAGCCUAGUCUUCCUUGUUCUAGACUGCUGGGGUUCCCCCAUAUGGAUUCACACCUCAUGGGACCCUCUAAGUAGUGAAACAAGUAGGAUAUUUGUAAAGAAAACCAUGAAUGAUGCAUAUCUAAAGCAUGUAGCACCUCACUGUUUUUUAUGCAUCUCUUCUAUACACUCUGCCUAUCAUAUCUGAUUACUUCUUUGCUUUUUCCCUCUGAAAUGUGAGUUUAAUACACUCUGAUUGAAGGACUAGUGUAUGAAGUAAAACCAAGCAUGUCUUAUUUGAGUUGAAAAUUGAUCUUUCAAAAUGCAUAAGGUAUACCCAAGUAUAUUUAAAGUAUACAGCUCUUGUAUACUUUUGGUAGAUAAGGACCUGUAUAUUGAAGUAUAUGUGGGGUAUACCAUUGUUGAUGUAUUGAAAAUGGUCCUAGAAUUUCAUUGGAUGUAUGGUGGUAUGAUAAGUCUUUCUUGCUGAAUUGGCAUAAUGAUCUGUGCAAGUAUAAAAUGUAUAUACUGAAGGUAUAUCCCAAACAUAUUAAGUAUACUCGAAGGUCCUGUAUGCCCUUUAGUGUAUGUGGGCUGGUAUACUUGAUGUAUACAAGGUGUAUUUGGUAUUAUAAUAUGCCCAUGUGUUUAAAGAAUAUGGAUUUUUGUUGAAUGUCUUUGCUUGCCUUACUUAGGCCUUAGUGUGUUUACCUUUGUUGCUUUCCCUUUUUGUGAACUAGUAUUUGGGCUUUUUGCUUCUUUUUCUUCUCUUUGUCUCCAGCACGUUUUAAAUUAGUUGGACCAUCUGUGUCUAGGCCCAAUCCCCGUGAAGUAUUGACUUAAUAAGCUGAAUAUGUGAUUGCAUAUAUGUAUAUAGAUGAUUAUGCUUGGUUUUCUUGUUAUGGCUUAGCAUAUAAACUUUGAACAUCUCCUAAUUAUAUCUUCUUUAUGCCUUAUAUGACUGCAUACUGGGCCAUUUGGGGCGUCUUCUACGCAUUUGAAACCUGCUGGGCCUGAGGCCCAACCUACCUUCUUCUAUCGAGUCCGAUUGAAAAGGAAAGCAAAUAUUGCUACUUUGAAGGCCCAGUCAUGGGUGAAAAUGGCACUGAUGGGCUUGGGUGGUCCCAUCAGUUAAAGAUUUACUUUCUUCUCUUCUCUACUCCAUAUAUACCUGGCAUGUAUAUAUAUUGUAUAUGUACUGAAUGUGUAAAUAAUGAAACCCUUAUGCAUGUGUAGAACUUAGGAAACAACACUUAGUAUUUUAGGAAGUCACCUAAAUCUUUCGAAACUCAGCUAAUAUCACAUUUGCACGAAAUUGACACUUAAUCCAAUUCUUUAAAUAAGUUUUCCAAAAUUGGUUCGAUAUUGAACGGGGUUAAUUGGUUUAAAAAACAAAUGACUAAGUGGAAAAUGAUUUGGGCCCUCAGUCCCCUUUUGUAGAAUUUAGCAAUGAAACGGUGGCUGCUUAAACUGUUUUGGGCCUUAAGCCCAACUGCUGAAAUCGUAUUGUUUAUUGAACCACCUAAAAAAUGGAAUUUGAGGCAAAAAAUGAAGAAAUACUUAAAGACUAUUUUUUAACAAAAUUAUCUUAAUGAAAACACUUCAAACAAUUUUGUACUCAUUCUGGAAAUAUGAAAGUUUGAAGACUCAGGAUUGUUUGAAGCAAAAACAGAUUCUUUUGAAACUGGACUUAAAUGAUUUUUUGAACUGUUGGGCUGAGAAGCCCAAAACACUAUGGACCAAAAACAAAGGGAGAUCCAAUUGGACUGAAUUGAGAUAAGAUGGCUUUGGGUAUGAAUAUAAGUUGACUUAUUGAGCUUCAAUGAAUCAAAAUGGGCUUAAUAAAACUUUCAAUUAUAUAUAUAUAUAUAUAUAUACUCCGUAUUUUUUUUAUAUAUGUGUAAUAAAAACCCAUAAGAACUAAAUCCAUUUUAUUAGGACUAGCAUAGUAGUGACUCUACUCGGGAGAAAUUCUGGGUGUAUCCUAGUCCCAAGAAUAAAGUGAAUUGAACACUUAUGCGGAUUUUUUAGACCCAAAACCCCCUUUUCUAAGGGGACUUUUUGCCUAAUUGUUUCUUGAAAUUAUGAUAUGAAUAAAAAUGACACUUUGUAGAAACUUAAGCAAUUCUUAAGCAAAUAAUUACAAAAUCACACAUUGAAGCUCGUAGGUCAACCGUAUUCUACAGAUUUUUAAUACUAGGGUGCGUAAAACCUUCCCUAGGGGAUCACCAGAACCCUUACCUUGAACUUUGGUAUCAAAAGAUUUCUCUCUUGCUUGAAAAAUCUUUUAUCCAGUUUUUCUAGUUUUCCUUUAAUAAAUUAGGUGGCGACUCUAAAAAUACUAAAUCCAAUGAGAGCACCAACAACCUCGAAGUAGCUUUUAUGCACCCGCAUAAAAGUGAACCGUAACAGUGGGUCAUCUCGUUCAGAAUUUAGUCCCAACUUUCCAUAGCAUUGAAUACACUUUACUUUGAAGCUUUUGAGGAGAAUAUUCCAUAUUUUUUUGUCCUCUUCCAUUCAUUGUAAGCUUUCAGUAUUUUUUUUAAUGCUUUGUUUUGAACUUUUAGCCAUGAGUAUCUAAUUUUAAAUACUAAGGUUGUCGACACAAUGAUGGGCGCUAUGUUAAUGGGUGUUUAUCAUUGAAUAUAUAUGAAUUAUGGGU